rnacentral:rRNA from 1 species
UAUUUUGGAUAUACCUCUUUGUAAAUACCUGAGCUUAUCUGCACUCAGACGCUAAGCAGGAUUGGGCCUGGUUAGGACUUGGAUGGGAGAACACUGAGAAAACCAGGUGCCACAGUGG